UUGGAGCCGCGGAGUGACUGCAGGCCCAAGGGCUGACGCUCGCAACUGAUUGGCUGCUCUGCCUCAGACCUGCUGACAAUAGAAAUUAACAGAGCCAGGUGGGCAUAUCCGCAGGCGCAAGGAGUAUUGGAGUGGAGGGAGAUAGAAAGAGCUUCAGGAGAGAAAGAAAAAAAAGUCAUUAUGUGCUGUGAAGCAUGCUAACAGUGCAGCAGGAUGUGAUGGUUUGAUAGAUAUCUCCAGUUGGAGGGGGGCUACGUGGGAAGAGGAGCCCGGGGCUGAAGAUGAGGUGUGUGUUCUG